rnacentral:rRNA from 1 species
GGCGGAAUUCGUGGUGUAGCGGUGAAAUGCUUAGAUAUCACGAAGAACUCCGAUUGCGAAGGCAGCUUACUGGAUUGUAACUGACGCUGAUGCUCGAAAGUGUGGGUAUCAAACAGGAUUAGAUACCCUGGUAGUCCACACAGUAAACGAUGAAUACUCGCUGUUGGCGAUAUACAGUCAGCGGCCAAGCGAAAGCAUUAAGUAUUCCACCUGGGGAGUACGCCGGCAACGGUGAAACUCAAAGGAAUUGACGGGGGCCCGCACAAGCGGAGGAACAUGUGGUUUAAUUCGAUGAUACGCGAGGAACCUUACCCGGGCUUAAAUUGCAACUGACGGAACCGGAAACGGUUCUUUCUUCGGACAGUUGUGAAGGUGCUGCAUGGUUGUCGUCAGCUCGUGCCGUGAGGUGUCGGCUUAAGUGCCAUAACGAGCGCAACCCUUGUUGUCAGUUACUAACAGGUGAUGCUGAGGACUCUGACAAGACUGCCAUCGUAAGAUGUGAGGAAGGUGGGGAUGACGUCAAAUCAGCACGGCCCUUACGUCCGGGGCUACACACGUGUUACAAUGGGGGGUACAGAGGGCCGCUACCACGCGAGUGGAUGCCAAUCCCUAAAACCCCUCUCAGUUCGGACUGGAGUCUGCAACCCGACUCCACGAAGCUGGAUUCGCUAGUAAUCGCGCAUCAGCCAUGGCGCGGUGAAUACGU